GGAGGUCCGAACCCACGAGCGUUGAAAAGCUCGGGGAUGACUUGUGGGUAGCGGUGAAAUUCCAAUCGAGCCCGGAGAUAGCUGGUUCUCCCCGAAAUAGCUUUAGGGCUAGCCUCAAGGUGAGAGAUACGGAGGUAGAGCACUGAAUGUCCUAGGGGGUAUUGCACCUACCGAAGACUAUCAAACUCCGAAUGCCGUCAUCUUAUACUUGGGAGUCAGACUGUGGGUGAUAAGAUUCAUAGUCGAAAGGGCAACAGCCCAGAUCGUCAGCUAAGGUCCCUAAAUGUAAGUUAAGUGGUAAAGGAUGUGGGAUUGCACAGACAACCAGGAUGUUGGCUUAGAAGCAGCCACUCAUUCAAAGAGUGCGUAAUAGCUCACUGGUCGAGUGAUCCUGCGCCGAAGAUUUCCGGGGCUAAAACUUACUACCGAAGCUACGGCAUCAGUAAUGAUGGGUAGGGGAGCUUCCCAUACGGGUUGAAGCAUGACCGUAAGGACAUGUGGACAGUAUGGGAGUGAGAAUGUUGGCAUGAGUAGCGAGAUGUGGGUGAGAAUCCCACAGGCCGUAAACCCAAGGUUUCCAGGGGAAGGUUCGUCCGCCCUGGGUUAGUCGGGACCUAAGCGGAGGCCGAAAGGCGUAGGUGAUGGACAACAGGUUGAUAUUCCUGUACUACCGAUAACCGUUUGAGAGAUGGGAUGACACAGUAGGAUAAGCUAAGCACACUGUUGGUUAUGUGUGCCCAAGCAUUGAGGCAGUCAAAGUAGGCAAAUCCGCUUUGAUAAUGCUGGGAUGUGAUGGGGAGCGAAAUUUAGUAGCGAAGUAGCUGAUUUCACACUGUCAAGAAAAGUCUCUAUCGAGGUUAAAGGUACCCGUACCGCAAACCGACACAGGUGGGUGAGGAGAGUAUCCUAAGGCUAGCGAGAGAACUGUUGUUAAGGAACUCGGCAAAAUGACCCCGUAACUUAGGGAUAAGGGGUGCCACCAUCAGGUGGCCGCAGAGAAUAGGCCCAAGCGACUGUUUACCAAAAACAUAGGUUUCUGCUAAGUCGCAAGACGAUGUAUAGGAGCUGACGCCUGCCCGGUGCUGGAAGGUUAAGGGGAUCUGUUAGAGCAAUCGAAGCAGUGAACUUAAGCCCCAGUAAACGGCGGCCGUAACUAUAACGGUCCUAAGGUAGCGAAAUUCCUUGUCGGGUAAGUUCCGACCCGCACGAAAGGCGUAACGAUUUGGGCACUGUCUCA
rnacentral:rRNA from 1 species